rnacentral:rRNA from 1 species
AACAAACGCUGGCGGCGUGCCUAAUACAUGCAAGUCGAACGGGGUAGCAAUACCUAGUGGCGCACGGGUGAGGAACGCGUGGAUAAUCUGCCUUAGAGUGGGGGAUAACUAGUCGAAAGAUUAGCUAAUACCGCAUAAGACCACAGGAGCUGCGGCUCUAGGGGUCAAAGGUUUUUCGCUCUAAGAUGAGUCCGCGUAAGAUUAGCUAGUUGGUGAGGUAACGGCUCACCAAGGCGACGAUCUUUAACUGGUCUGAGAGGAUGAUCAGUCACACUGGAACUGGAACACGGUCCAGACUCCUACGGGAGGCAGCAGUAGGGAAUAUUGCACAAUGGAGGAAACUCUGAUGCAGCGACGCCGCGUGAGUGAUGAAGGCCUUCGGGUCGUAAAGCUCUGUCGCAGGGGAAUAACACAAUGAAUGUACCCUGUAAGAAAGGAUCGGCUAACUUCGUGCCAGCCGCCGCCGUAAAAC